rnacentral:sRNA from 1 species
GAAGUAUAAAAAUUAAAAUGUAUUGAUAAAGGUAAUAAAGAAAAAGAAGACGCUUUAAAGUGAAAAGGAAGCAGACAAAUUGUCAGUGGAAAGCUGUGCUUUAAUGCUUUAAAGUUUGAGCAUUGUAUCACAUACUCUGUAAUCGAUUCAAGCAAUGGAGUAGCAUUCGUCUCUGUGGAGUAACUUAACUUAACGUUUGAGCGUCUCUGUUUGAAGAGAUGGACGACCACUUGUUUCUUUAUAGCCAAUUCUUCCAUUGUUCUCUGCAUAUCUGUUAAAGGAGGUAACCUAAGUUUGCCUAUUUCUCCUCAUUUUUUCACUUCCAAAUUAGUUAGAUAUCAACUACAUCUGCUUCUUCUUAUAGAUGCUAUUGUUCUUGUUAUAUGUCACUCUCUUUUUUAUUCGUAUUAACUUCAAAAAUAGCAUUAAAUAUGUAAGUUCAAUUAGUUUUAUUAAUGGUUUAUUUCACUCUAUCUAAUUUUUUUAAACGGUCACUCUAAAGAGAAGAAUCAUCAAUUCUAUUUUUUUUAAACGGUCACUCUAUCUAAUUAGUUUUAUUAAUGGUUUAUAAAAUUACAUAUGACAAUAAGCAAAGAAAGACGAGGAGCAAACAAGAUUUUUCAAACGACCAAGACUUUUCAAAGACAUACAAGUGGAAGUUACAGCCUCAAUCAUGCAGAAUUAAUAAUAAUAAUAAUUCUGAAUUCUGAUAGCACCCACCACACAACAAUAAUAAAUAAACCAUGAAGACUUCUCCAAGACAUACAAAUGAAACUUAUAGUCUCCCUCGAUCACGCAGAAUUAAUAUUAAUAAUUGGUAGUGUUAGAGAAAGGGUGUGCUUUCAUUCUUAUCUCUUUCAUCAGUAGUGAGAUUCAAGCAUCGGACUACAUUCAUCUCUCUCUCUGAAGGUAUCGAUCAGUGUAAAGUUAACUUCUGUUCUGCUCUUAUUUGAAAUUUUAAUCGUUUCCUUUUCAAUGAAAGUUGUAGAUAAUGUGUUUGUGUUUAUGUUUGUAUUUGCAGUAACUUAACAUUUCAG